rnacentral:misc_RNA from 1 species
GAUGAAGGAACGUAGCGAAAUGCGAUAAGUAAUGUGAAUUGCAGAAUUCAGUGAAUCAUCGAAUCUUUGAACGCACAUUGCGCCCCCUGGUAUUCCGGGGGGCAUGCCUGUCCGAGCGUCAUUACAACCCUCAAGCUCAGCUUGGUGUUGGGCCCCGCCGCCCCGGCGGGCCCUAAAGUCAGUGGCGGUGCCGUCCGGCUCCGAGCGUAGUAAUUCUUCUCGCUCUGGAGGUCCGGUCGUGUGCUCGCCAGCAACCCCCAAUUUUUUUCAGGUUGACCUCGGAUCAGGUAGGGAUACCCGCUGAACUUAAGCAUAUCAAUAAGCGGAGGA